AUCGCUUCUCGGCCUGUGGCUAAGAUCAAAGUGUAGCAUCUGUAGUAUCUGUUCUGUCUGUUUUCAAGGUAAUAACUGAAAGUUCCUCACAGAGGGAUAAGUUAUGAAGAUUUUUUGUAAAUUUGGCGAGAAGUGAAGCUUGCUUCACUUCCGUCACAGGUCGGCCUGGCAUUGCAGUGCUGCCGGGAUCGGCCUUCAGAAU